GCUGUCACAAGGUAAUGGCUGAAAAUAACACCACAAGUUAACUAGUAAAGAAUGGAAGAUUUGACAGAAGAGAGGAAUUCUCAUUUACCACAGUUCCUGUCUUGAUGGCCACUGUUAGAGCUUACAUGGAUUCUGGAAGAACAGAUGUGUGAAGCUCUUCAAGUUCAUGUUCUAACAAGACCACGAGCCAGCUCUCAUAACCAUGUCAUGAUGUGCCUAAGACCUCCUUAGCUUUGCCAUUAUGUUCUUCACUGUUUCCUUGGCACACUCUCAGUUGGCAUAGCUCAUCUAUGGUACUCAAUUGGAUGACUUACAUGCCUUCCAAGAAUACAUACCGUGUAGCAGCAAACCCUACCCUCAGUGUGGUCCUCUGAGUGGUGGUUUCCUGCAGCCUGGUGAGAGCAUGGACAGAGGCAUGGAGCAUCCCACUGCAGCAUGGUGUCCCAGUCCCAGGUGUGGAUCGUAAAGCUGGAGAUUGUGGAGCUAGCCAAACUGAAGACACCUUCGGUGGUGACAGUGAGGUCGCAUGGAACAGAUGAAUUGCUGGUGCAGUGCACAAACAGUUGGAGUGCUGGGACUGGUGAUGCAGUGUCCCCAUCAGAUCUAGACUUUGAAAUAUUGAACCAAGAAAAACAAAAAAAAAAACAAAAAAAAAAAACUGGAAGGUAUGUUGAGAAGUACGCCCAAUUGCUGCCCUGCCUAAUUCUUUUCAGGUGACAAUGAAGUAGCUUUUUAAAGCUUGGAACUGUAAAGGACUCCCGAGUACACUUCAGCAUUGCCAUUUUUAGCCAGUGUGUGGAAGGAAAGGAGGGAUUUCUUUCCAUGCUAUUGCAGCUAUGUGGUUGUUCAUUUCAGGCGCCCUCUACUGGUAAACUUUAAACCAUACUGAUAAACCAUGGCGUGGCCGUGUCCCCAUUGUACUGGAGUUUGUAUGAAUAGUUAAAAUGUUAGUACUGCACUUUCUUUUUUUCUUUUUUCUUUUCUUUUUUUUAUUUUGCUUACUUUCUCAUAGCUAAUGUCCGUGGGACUAGCUGUAUUUCUUGGUUUUUGUAUUGUUUAGCUCUAUAAAAUGGCCCCAGAAAGUCUCCAAAUAGUGUCUUUAACUACAACAAAGGAGACUUAUUUGGUUCCUUAAAUUCACACUAAGUUUGACUUAUAACAGUUUGUUUAGUGUGAAUAUUUUCUUGUCUUUCUCAUGUCUCAAUUUAUUUGGAAGUCAAUAUUAAGAGCUACUUAGUAGAACCAGCUUAUUAAAUGUUACUUGAGUGUGCAGUAAAAUGUUCAGUUAAGCAAAUGUUUAAGAACGAUACUUUGUUUUGAAAUUCAUUGUGAAUCAUAAAGCAGAAGUCAUUUCAUAGUAUUUCAGAGACACGGUCUCAGAUAUUCUUGGUCCAGUAUGUCAGAAUAGAAUUUAUAAUACAAAUAAAGUUUGCUUUAAUUAAAAUACUUUUUUGCUG
rnacentral:lncRNA from 1 species